AUUUAUAUAGUAUAACAAAUAUUACAUUUAACUUCCAAUUAAAAAAUUUAGUUUAAUCUAAUGUAAAUA
rnacentral:tRNA from 2 species